CGAGAGAAUGCCCCUGGGGUGCUGUAGCUGAGGUGGACAGCCCUGGGGCAGAGGGGGCUGGGGUGGCCCGUUCUCCAGCCUCCCAUCCUGUGGCUGGCCUCCCUUUGUCACCUGCCAAGGGACCCCGUUGCCUGCUGGCCUGUGGUGGCUUCCCCUUGGAGGCCCUGCCCUCCUCUUGGGGUCCCCACUGUGCAGUUGGAGGACUCGAUGCAGGGCCCAAGUGGAGGCUUCCUGGGGCGCCCGCCCCCCUAACUACCCCAGGCAAGUGCGAGCGGGAAUUUUGGGAGCGUUGAGGCUGGCAGACCUGGCCCAAACUCUCCUCUCCCCUCUCCGUGCCCCCCACCCCAGGAAAGUAGGUCCCAAGCCCCCUUGCACCCAGUGUGACAUUGGGCACCAGGUCUGGGUUUUCACGAAGAGCUCUGCUUUGCCAAGGACAAUGAGGGCCACGGUGCACUGGGGACACCAGCUCGGGUCCACGGCCACGUGGGUUCUGGCCCCUCGGACGCACCAGACCUCUGUAGUCAGCCCCAGCAAGGCGGUCCUGGAGGAGAGAGAACACGAGCUCCCAGAAGACCUCUCUGAUGGCCUCGCCCACCCUGGGAGCCGGAUGCUGGAGAGGAGAGGCACGUGUUGCGGGAGGACCUGGAAGUGUGGACCAGGAACACCCGUCCGUCUGAGCCCGAGGCUGGGAGCCCUUGGGCACACACCUUCCUGCUGAUGGCGCACCAGGAUGCAGAUGCUUGUCCCCCCACCCCCCAAGGCGAUCUGUUACACAGCUGGGCUCUGAAGAGAGGGUUUUUCAUGGCCCAAUAAAAAAGGAGGGGCCACUUAAGAAAAACUCAUAAGAUGCACAUUUGUGCUGUUAUCCACUACAAUGCAGGUGUGGGACAGCUGGAGGCUAAAGAAGGGGCCAGAGGUUGGUGGUCUGGCCUAGAUUUGGGGGAGCCUAGGUCCUCAUGGAGCUUACACUGCAUGUGGUAAAGAUCUCAUUUAUAAGCAAGAAAGACUGCUCAUUUGACCACACAACUAUCAAUCAUUUAUAUGUCAAGAUACCUGGAACAAGAAGUCAAAACAAAAACCCAGGACAAACAUUUACCAUAUACACACAAAAAUAGGGUCUUUAAUAUGUAAAGAGCUGUGAAGAAUGAAAAACCUAC
rnacentral:lncRNA from 1 species